GAAAGGAAGAAAAGUCACUUUUAGAAACAAGGCUCCCCCGAAAGGAGGCACAGGGUGGGGUGAGGAGGCGCUUGCCCGGUGAGCCAAACGACGCGACGCUCUCUACUUGGCUGUCAAGUAAGGCUCCUGGGAGAGGAGCACCAGUAAAGCUCCGAACGUGGUUAUCCUGGUCGUCCCCUGAGCAGCUGGUGGGGGUGUGGGCGCAGGAGACGAAUGGGUGCAAAUUCCAGGCUCACCGUUUAUGUGGACAUCUAGCUUCCCAGUAGUGCCAGGCUUCAACAGCACUCUCCCCCUUGAUACAAAAGGAGGUGAGAAUGGGACUUAUGAGGGCUGAGAGCAAGUUCAUCACCACUCCCGGCGCUCUCAUCCUCUUCUACAAAGGACAUCUGUAUCUUCUAUCUAACUCAGUGAGGGCCAAAGGGCAUUUGAGUAGAUUUCUGGCCGCCCUAACUUCUCUUCUUUCUCUUCCCUUAAUUCUCACAGGGACCAGAAGACCAUAAAGGUUUAGGAACAGAAAUGAAAAUCCAGAACCUGCAAUGGUAAAAGUCUCAACAUCCAUUCUUAAAAUCCAGAACACAGAUAUCGCAAUGGGUCAGGGGCACAGCUAAUGCGGAGAGGAGGAAAACCAAGCCUCAGAGAAAUGAAGAACAAAUGCAAGUGAAAAAAGGACAAGUAUCGGCCCAAAACUGAGGGCCUUGCGGAGAAGUCCUGAUAAGUCUCCAAGUGCUAUUGGAUCCCUGAUGCAGUUCACACAGGGCCCACCUGCAGCCAGGAGUUGACAUGCAAAAUCCCAACAACGUGGAAUGAACCCUAGACGAGCACAUCGUUCUUGCACCAGGUCACCCUGGGAAUCGCAGGCUGACCCUGGAUUGAUCUGGGAUAGGGUCUCGUGGCCUCCUGACCUCCUGUGUGAUGCUUGGGAUGCUCUGGGAUGAGUGCCAGCAUUUAAAGAAAAACUCCCAGUUUAGCUUUAGUCCGAGGACAGAGAACCGAAGUGUCUAGACCACUGCUCUCAAAGACCUGUCUUCAGAACACUGCUUAUAUGAGGUUUGUACUGGUUUACAGUGAAAUGAGGAAGAGAGAAAUAAUUAAUCGUAUU